UUUAAAUUAGAAAUAAUGCUGAUUACAUUUGCUUCUCUUGAUUCUCGGUCACAUCCUAUGGGUACUACAUUGCUGCCCAAGUAAAGUUUAGCCAUCUUUUCUUUUUUUUUAUUUUGUGAAAUCAAAAGUAUAUUAGGUAGAAGUUGAUGUUGUUGAGUGAUGUUGGGACGGUGAUGCUUGUUUAGUGGUGGUAUGGAGAGAAUGAAUGUCAUUAAUUGCUUGAUUAAGUGAUGUUACAGCUGAAGCAAAAGGCAACCACGGUGGCAGCUUGAUGGGAUGUUGGGUGCAGUUGAAAAUAGGAAAGGGUCCCACUGAGUUGGAAGCACAUGGCCAUUUGACAUUUUUUUUUUGGAGAGCACAUGGAGUAGUGGUUGCAUACGUUUCUGCCACGUUUUGGGAGAGGAUAGAUAACUUUCAUUUUGAAGCUUUGAAUUGGCUGCAGCAAUCUCACGGCAAAGGUUUAUUCUCUGGGCCAUUUC
rnacentral:lncRNA from 1 species